rnacentral:rRNA from 1 species
UGAGUACGAGAUGCUACGGCAUCGAAGCAGUCUAUGUCAUACUUCCAAGAAAAGCUUGCAAUGUCAUAAACAAAUAAUGCCUGUACCAUAACCGACACAGGUGGGUAGGUAGAGUAUACUAAGGGGCGCGAGAUAACUCUCUCUAAGGAACUCGGCAAAAUGACUCCGUAACUUCGGGAGAAGGAGUGCCUUAUUUUUAUAAGGUUGCAAUAACAAGAUCCAAGCAACUGUUUACCAAAAACACAGGUCUCCGCCAAGUCGUAAGACGAUGUAUGGGGGCUGACGCCUGCCCAGUGCCAGAAGGUUAAAGAAGUUGGUUAGCAUUAGCGAAGCUGAUAACUGAAGCCCUGGUGAACGGCGGCCGUAACAAUAACGGUCCUAAGGUAGCGAAAUUCCUUGUCGGGUAAGUUCCGACCCGCACGAAAGGCGUAAUGAUUUGGAUACUGUCUCGGAGAGGGGCUCGGUGAAAUAGACUUGUCUGUGAAGAUGCGGACUACCUGCACCUGGACAGAAAGGCCCUAUGAAGCUUUACUGUAACUUGAGAUUGAAAUUGGACUUUAUCUGCGCAGUAUAGGUGGGAGACGUUGAAAAUAUUCUUGCGGGAAUAUUGGAGUCAUCAGUGAGAUACCACUCUUAUAAUGUUAGAUUUCUAACUUUGUAUCAUUAUCUGGUCAAAGAACAGUUUCAGGCGGGCAGUUUGACUGGGGCGGUCGCCUCCCAAACGGUAACGGAGGCGCACAAAGGUUUCCUCUGAACGUGUAGAAAUCGUAUCUAGAGUGUAAAGGCAUAAGGAAGCUUGACUGUGAGACCUACAAGUCGAGCAGGGACGAAAGUCGGUCUUAGUGAUCUGACGGUGCUGAGUGGAAAGGCCGUCACUCAACGGAUAAAAGUUACUCUAGGAUAACAGGCUGACCUCCCCCAAGAGUUCAGAUCGACGGGGAGGUUUGGCACCUCGAUGUCGGCUCAUCGCAUCCUGGGGCGGUAGUACGUCCCAAGGGUUGGGCUGUUCGCCCAUGAAAGCGGUACGCGAGCUGGGUUCAGAACGUCGUGAGACAGUUCGGUCCAUAUCCGGUGUAGGCGUUAGAAUAUUGAGAGGAGCCUUCUUUAGUACGAGAGGACCGAGAAGGACAUACCUCUGGUGUACCAGUUAUCGUGCCAACGGUAAACGCUGGGUAGCCAUGUAUGGAGAGGAUAACCGCUGAAAGCAUCUAAGUGGGAAGCCCACCUCAAGAUAAGUAUCC